rnacentral:rRNA from 1 species
AAAUUGAAGAGUUUGAUCAUGGCUCAGAUUGAACGCUGGCGGCAGGCCUAACACAUGCAAGUCGAACGGUAACAGGAAGCAGCUUGCUGCUUCGCUGACGAGUGGCGGACGGGUGAGUAAUGUCUGGGAAGCUGCCUGAUGGAGGGGGAUAACUACUGGAAACGGUGGCUAAUACCGCAUAACGUCGCAAGACCAAAG